rnacentral:rRNA from 1 species
GAUGAACGCUGGCGGCGUGCCUAAUACAUGCAAGUCGAGCGAACGGACGAGAAGCUUGUUUCUCUGAUGUUAGCGGCGGACGGGUGAGUAACACGUGGAUAACCUACCUAUAAGACUGGGAUAACUUCGGGAAACCGGAGCUAAUACCGGAUGAUAUUUUGAACCCAUGGUUCAAAAGUGAAAGACGGUCUUGCUGUCACUUAUAGAUGGAUCCGCGCUGCAUUAGCUAGUUGGUAAGGUAACGGCUUACCAAGGCAACGAUGCAUAGCCGACCUGAGAGGGUGAUCGGCCACACUGGAACUGAGACACGGUCCAGACUCCUACGGGAGGCAGCAGUAGGGAAUCUUCCGCAAUGGGCGAAAGCCUGACGGAGCAACGCCGCGUGAGUGAUGAAGGUCUUCGGAUCGUAAAACUCUGUUAUUAGGGAAGAACAUAUGUGUAAGUAACUGUGCACAUCUUGACGGUACCUAAUCAGAAAGCCACGGCUAACUACGUG